GAUGAACGCUAGCGGCAGGCUUAAUACAUGCAAGUCGAGGGCUCAGCAAUGGGACCGGCGCACGGGUGCGUAACACGUAUGCAACCUGCCUGUAUCUGGGGGAUAGCCCGAGGAAACUCGGAUUAAUACCGCAUACCACUGAGGGUCGGCAUCGAUUUUCAGUGAAAGAUUUAUCGGAUACAGAUGGGCAUGCGCAGGAUUAGCUAGUUGGUGUGGUAACGGCACACCAAGGCGACGAUCCUUAGGGGCUCUGAGAGGAGUAACCCCCANACUGGCACUGAGAUACGGGCCAGACUCCUACGGGAGCAGCAGUAGGAAUAUUGGGCAAUGGAGGCAACGUCUGACCCAGCCAUGCCGCGUGCAGGAAGACGGCCCUCUGGGUUGUAAAACUGCUUUUUAAGAGGAGGAAAGUGCAGCUUGCGAGCUG
rnacentral:rRNA from 1 species